UACAGAGGUCCCAAGCGUUGUUCGGAUUCAUUGGGCGUAAAGAGCUCGUAGGCGGCUUGUCACGUCGGGUGUGAAAGCCCGGGGCUUAACCCCGGGUCUGCAUUCGAUACGGGCUGGCUGGAGUGUGGUAGGGGAGAUCGGAAUUCCUGGUGUAGCGGUGAAAUGCGCAGAUAUCAGGAGGAACACCGGUGGCGAAGGCGGAUCUCUGGGCCAUUACUGACGCUGAGGAGCGAAAGCGUGGGGAGCGAACAGG
rnacentral:rRNA from 1 species